UUUAAGACCCAUCGCCCAAGAUAUGUAGUAGUUGAGCUCUGGAUCUCAUGAAGUUUAGAACUGGGAAAUCCCGAUGUUAGUGUCUAGUAAGUUCAUCAUGAAUCUACAAGAUUUAGGUGAGGACGAUAAGUAAGUUCACAAUAUUAAAAGACGUAAUCGACGAAAGGCUAACCCUCAAAGAAGCGGAACACCCGAGCACGCUUUUUAAAGCAACUUAAUGCAGUCAAAACCAAGUUUGUUGAAUGUGUGAACGUUUUAUCAUGGGAGGAAGCAGUAGAGCGGUUCCCAAAACAUACCAAUGAAUCUUCCUUUAAACUUUUUACAGAGACAAAAUUAAAAGUGACUAAAAAGCAGAUGCCAUCAGGACUUCUGUCCCAUUGUAUGGAUGCACUUCAGUGGGAGCCACAACAACGUAACUUAAAAGGAUUGUCACCAUCAUCGGCACAAUCCUGUGUUUAAUUCACAACACAGCACGUGCCAUGUAAAUGCAAUGUUCUACGCAUUUUUAAUGCGCAGAAAAUCGCUAGCAAACCACGACAUGGGGCUGAAUCGUGGCGUUCUAGUCCUGAAAAAAGUUAGUACUUAUGUACAUUAUUUUAUUUUUUCUGCACAUUUCACAGAAAUAAACUCCUUUGAUGGUGUCGCUACAGCAUCAGGCUAUCCAUAGGUGGAAUGAAGAAGGAUUCUGAUACAACUAACGGUCUAGGUGUAAUAAAACAAAACUAAAUUUUAGAUCCUUCAUUUAUUUAAAUUACGGGGUAAAAUUUGUAAUGAAGCCGUGUUAGUCUAAACAAUAUACACAGAUUAUUACACAUACAAUACAUACAAUAUUACACAGUCUCCGGGGAGACCGAUCAUCGUGUCCCACUUAUCAUCCCCUAUAAUCCACUUGUUAAGCCUUUACAACACAUUAUCAACGAUCUACAACCUAUACUAGAUAGUGACCCUGUACUUCACAAAAUCAUACCUAACAAACAUGUGCUUGCGUACAAACAACCACCCAACCUCAAACAAUAGCUUACUUCAAACAAAACACCCCACACCCCCACCACUAAGGGCACCAUUCCAUGUAACCAACAGAAAUGUCGCCUUUGCCCACAUAUAAACACUAGCAAUACCAUAACAGGGCCUAAUCAAGUUACAUACAAUAUCAGUGGAUCAUUUUCAUGUUUUUCAUCUAACGCCAUCUAUGCCAUUACAUGCACUGAAUGUCCUGGUACUAUUUACAUAGGAGAAACUUGCCAAACUGUCAGACAACGCAUGAAUGGUCAUAAAUUUGACAUUCGUCACAACAAAAAAGAUAGGCCCAGUUCAUUUUAAUUUACCAGGACAUAAUAUUACACACUUUACAGUAGCUGUGCUCUUGAGUAAUUGCUUUAAAAACAGAAAUGAGAGAUAAAUUGCUAAACAAACAUUAUUCAUAAAUUUGAUAGUAUUAAUAGUGGCCUCAAUAUAGAUGUAGGCUUUCUCAGCCACUAUAAGAUUUAGUUUGUUACCGACUCCAUUGUUCAUUUUAGCACCAUGACCACACAGAUAGUUUAUCUCCCUGAGCUCUAUUUAUUAGUUGUAUUGUAAGUAGCUUGAUCACACUUGUUAUCUCUGAUCAUUAUAUAUUACAUUGUAUCCGACUGCUAAUUGGUUAA